rnacentral:rRNA from 1 species
GACGAACGCUGGCGGCGUGCUUAACACAUGCAAGUCGAACGGAAAGGCCCUGCUUGCAGGGUACUCGAGUGGCGAACGGGUGAGUAACACGUGGGUGAUCUGCCCUGCACUUCGGGAUAAGCUUGGGAAACUGGGUCUAAUACCGGAUAGGAGCCAUCUUUAGUGUGGUGGUUGGAAAGUUUUUUCGGUGUAGGAUGAGCUCGCGGCCUAUCAGCUUGUUGGUGGGGUAAUGGCCUACCAAGGCGGCGACGGGUAGCCGGCCUGAGAGGGUGUACGGCCACAUUGGGACUGAGAUACGGCCCAGACUCCUACGGGAGGCAGCAGUGGGGAAUAUUGCACAAUGGGCGCAAGCCUGAGGCAGCGACGCCGCGUGGGGGAUGAAGGCCUUCGGGUUGUAAACUCCUUUCGCUAGGGACGAAGCUUUGUUGUGACGGUACCUAGAUAAGAAGCACCGGCUAACUACGUG